AACACUGCUGUUGACAUUUCUCCCUGGGAUGAAUGUCUGUGUGAGGAAUCAAACCUUCCAGUCAUGCCGUAUAAACUCCCAGGUCUUGCUGUUAGUAUAGCGCAGAUCAACUCCACUGACGAUACCUGGAGUGUGAGUGGCAGAAAGUGGCAGGCGAACAACAUCUCUAAGUCACUAGCAACAUAAAUACACUGUGUCGAAUAGCUGAGCUGCCACAAAUAUAUCCGCACCUGUACAAUCGCUCGCGGGGAGACUUUAAAGAUUCAGAGAAAGCAUUUAAUUCCUAGAAAGAAAUUGCAACGAAGCUUGGUGUAACAAACAGGUUUGUGUUAUUGAGAUGACUCCAAUAUUUUUUCCACAUCAUGCUAAAAUUUUGAGACUAUGAGCCAUUCACACUUAAAGGAUGUCAAUCCUCUAUCAUGUGUGUCAUGUGUUCCCGCCUCUUGUUUCCUUAUUUGGUUUGUGUCACGAAUCCUGUCCAUGCACUUCCAUUCACUCACCACCAGAGGUCACUUGCUCACUACAUUGACUAUCACAGCACCCAUCACACUGGACUCCAUUUCCCAUCAUUCAUUGCACUGAUUGCAUACACGGCUCAUUGCACUUAACACACACACACCUGAUCCUACGCACACACUGAUUGCAUGCCUUAUUUAAACCCUGGACUUUCUUUCCCUCACUGCCGAGUAUUGUAUGCAUUUAUCGCUGCCCUACAGAGCCCCUGUUAGUUUUCCUAGUCUUGCCUGUUUCGGAUUGUGUGUUCCCCUGCCUGAACUAUUGCUUACAUUUUGAAUUACCUCUCUUGUCUAGCCCCUUUGGAUACUGUUCGCUGUCGUCUGACCCAUGCCCGUUUUAGAUUACUCUUUGCACUGCCUAUGAUAUACCUGUCUGCCAUUGUUCGACCCUGCCUGUUAUGACCACGUCUCUUGUCAAUAAAAGCUUGCAUAUGGAUCCGCACGUCUCACGUCUCGUCAGCCCCGUAACAGUUUGCUUCCUGUCCUUGUUUAGUGUGAUUGUCUGUUAUUCUGUUCAGGUGUGUGUCAUUAUCAGUAAUUAUCAUGUGUAUUUAGUUCCUGCCUGUUUAGUUAGAUUUUAUCUGGUCUACUCAUUAUUCCUCGGUGUUCCUGUCUGUGUUAACCUUGCCUCGUCUUGCCCUGCCUUGUUUGGAUUAAUUAAAGACUAUUAUUUUUAAGUUUAUCCUUUUCUGCAUGUUCCUCGUUCCUCCCUGCUAUGUGCACUGUGACAAAGGACUGAUUAUGGGAAUGAAAUGGUUCUUUUGUAUUGCAAACAUGAUACUUGACUCUGAACUGCUGCUAAUCAUUAUUCUUUCGUCUAUAAUAUUCUGACCAUUGGUACCUGUCUCACACCUAGAUACACCAUCAUUGUGUCGUUGUUGUGUUUAGGGCAUAUGCGCGAGCGUCGCGACACAUGUUUACAUUAAUCUACACCCCGCCUCCAGCAGCGCGGGGGUGUUGGGACUGUUCAGAAACAGUAUACCGUUGCUCAGCCUUUUCGAACCUCUUUUUGCCCCCAAACAAAGAACGAAAGCGAACUUCGUUUGAAGUAUAUCGGGGCCUUUAGGUUAAUUGGGUAACUGCCACUGACUGUCAUUCUGGAUGAAUUUCCUUUUAGAAAAAGCCCGGGCUUGCUUGCUUAUGCCCCAAGUUCCCACAUCUACUGUUACAUGACAUACUCUCACUAGUAGUGUAGUUAUAUGCAGGGGCGGAUUGGCCAUCUGGCAAUUCUGGCAAAUGCCAGAGGGGCCGGACCAUUUUGUUUAAUGUGGGCCGGUCAGAUUUUUAAAAUUAAUGUAUGAAUAAAAUUGUUUUUACGGGCCUUUUUUAUCUAGAUUUCACUAUGGUUAAUAACAACAUGAAUAGGCCAAAUAAUAAAUGUUAAGCAUUUGGCUAAGUCUGCAACGGCCAGCCGCCUGGUCCCGAGAUGGGCCGACCGAACCGAUUAGAGGUUAUUGGACGUUCAGUCAAAAUCAAGACGAGCUACGAUCAGCAAGAGCUAAUUUUCAGUAAAAGCUAGAUAAUGGACCGUAAAAAAAGUAAAGGCGGUGCAUAAAAACUUUGAGAAACAAACAAACAAAAAGGGCUCUAAAGUCUGACGCUGCUAAAAGUGUAAAAUUAACCGAACUCUUUUCAAAAUGUUUAAAUUCGGCUGCUGCAGCGGAGGACAGUAGUGCCACAGACGCAAACAGAAAACAGAAAAUACAGCUAACACAAGUCAUUUUCACACUACUUCUGCCAGUUAGCUCCUGUGUUUUGUGUGUGUGUGUGUUUUGACAGUAGCCUACAUUGUAUUAAAUAGUUGUAUGCUUAGCGUAGAACCCCAGUAUAUUUUAAAGUGUCAUUGUUUCAUGGUAAUUGGUUACAAGUGUUAGCUAACCUGUUACUGAAUUGCAUGAUUGAAAUAUCAGCAGAUAAGUUGGGAUUUAGGCUAACCACUGAUAUAGGCUACUUGCAGUAACACAUCAAAAACCUAUAGCAAUAGCCAUAGUACUACUGUAGACAUUUGUAGUGAACUUCACUUUGAAUAUGUAGAUCAGGGGUCUUCAACUAAAACGGCUCGAGGUCCAGUAAUGAACCCUCCCCACCAGCCGAGGUCCGAACAAUUAUAUAUAAAAAACAAUUGAUGGUUUUUGCCAGGCCAGGGUAUCUGCAGGAUAUUUAAACUUAAAUUCAAGACUUUUAAAGACCUUUUUAAGACCUGCACAAAAAAAUUAAAAAUAAAUAAAAAAUUAAAUAACUGUAAAAAGCAUGAUUUACAGUUCAGAUGCAGGUUUUCACAAAAACAAUCAAGUAUUAUAUUAAUUAAACAACAUAUAAAUAUAUUUUACUGCCUUAAUUAACAUUUUAUAACACAUUAUCUUCUUGUUGAUCUACCAGUUCACAUUUACAACUGUGUUUGCUGCUUAAAAACAUGGGUUGAUUUUCACAUUGGCCUUUGACAACAGCAAUACGGGCUGAUUUAAAAUGGAAAAUCAUUCUCUUCCAGCAGGUGGCGCUUUGGGAAUGGCAGUACACAAAGCCCAAGACACAGACUCCACAAAGCAGCAAAGCAGAUGACUUUGAAACAUGCAGCGCUCAUAUUUAUUCAAUGAAUAGCCUUUUUUAAGUUUAAUCGCAAUUCUUGUCUUUCAGUCCCCACAUUUAAGACCUCCUGAAAUCAUAAUUAAGACUUUCUUGUAACAUUUAAGAUUUUUAAGGACCCGUCAACUUUCCUAAUUUUUGAAAAUGCCAUUGUUUUUUUUAUCCACUGAAAGUUUCAGCUGUCUGCGCGCAGCGGGCGCUCUCAUGUCUCAUCACUGCUCGCACGACUGCACCCAAACGGCUCUAGAGCUGAUGUCUGCUAGAUAUAAAUUUGAUUUACUGGAAAUUAGCGUUUGGUAUUUAUUUCAUUAGUCAUAUAUUAAAAUAAAACAUUGAAUACAUGCAUAUAGUACAUAUGUUUACAGUAUGCAAUUAAUCCUAAGGUAGGGUGGAACAUAGGCUUCUAUUACAGGCACUCAUGUGCAAUAGUUAGAUGAGGUAUUAUAAGCCAUUGGCUUACUUAUGUUCUCCCUUGUCUGAAUCGUGUUCAUCUAUUCAAAACUAGAAUGUAGCUGGACCCAGUGCAGACAGCUCAACUGCUGUAGCAGAGUCAAAUGCCAUGGAGGUAGGAGGACAGCAAUGAGAGAGACACACCCUGGCUGUGUGCUCCUGAGCCUGACCAAAAACAUGGCGGAAUCCGACGCGGCGUGACGAUGUUGCAGGAACCAAUACAGCCAGAGACCCCUGGUCUUCCAAUACCAGUGCUGUGAGGAAGGAUGCUACGGUAGGCCUUGCAGAGACAGGGAGUAUUGUGGAAGAGGUAGGAGAAAUCCAACAGACAGACAGUGACAACAAAGAACAACAUACAGUUGAGCAGUGGUACCCAACCCUGUUCAUGGAGAUCUACAUCCCUGCAGAGUUCAGUUCCAACCCUGCUUCAGCACACCUGCCUGUAAUUAUCAAGUAGUCCUGGAGAUCUUAAUUAGCUGGUUAAGCCGUGUUUGAUCAGGGAUGGAGCUGAACUUUGCAGGAAGGUAGUAGGGCUGUCGCGAUAACCGCAAUAUAGCAAUACCGCGCUAUUGAUGAGCAUAACCGCAGAGGAAUGCAACAACCGCGAUAUUUCAGUGUUUUAUUUUUCGUAAGGUUACGCCCUUCUUGUUUUACACUUCGUGCAUGUGUACUGAAUAUUAGUAAUGAUAACAAUGUGUAUCAUGCUGAUUUGCACAGAGGCUCAGUAAAUUUGCACUUAACAAGCCUAAACAGACAGCAAUGAG